rnacentral:rRNA from 1 species
AAGUGAUAUUUAACGAAAGUGGCGAACGGGUGAGUAACACGUGAGCAACCUGCCUUACACAGGGGAUAGCCAUUGGAAACGGUGAUUAAUACCCCAUAAGACCACAAUACCGCAUGGUAAAAGGGUAAAAGGGAUACCGGUGUAAGAUGGGCUCGCGUCUGAUUAGCUAGUUGGUGGGGUAAAGGCCUACCAAGGCGACGAUCAGUAGCCGGUCUGAGAGGAUGAACGGCCACAUUGGAACUGAAACACGGUCCAAACUCCUACGGGAGGCAGCAGCC